CUCGUUAAGGAACUCGGCAAAAUGACCCCGUAACUUCGGGAGAAGGGGUGCUGAUCGCAAGAUCAGCCGCAGKGAAUAGGCCCAGGCGACUGUUUAUCAAAAACACAGGUCUCUGCAAAAUCGUAAGAUGACGUAUAGGGGCUGACGCCUGCCCGGUGCUGGAAGGUUAAAAGGAUGGGUUAGCUUCGGCGAAGCUCAGAAUUGAAGCCCCAGUAAACGGCGGCCGUAACUAUAACGGUCCUAAGGUAGCGAAAUUCCUUGUCGGGUAAGUUCCGACCCGCACGAAAGGCGUAACGAUCUGGGCACUGUCUCAACGAGAGACUCGGUGAAAUUAUAUUGUCCGUGAAGAUGCGGACUACCCGCGACAGGACGGAAAGACCCCAUGGAGCUUUACUGUAGCUUGAUAUUGAGUGUUUGUACAGCUUGUACAGGAUAGGUAGGAGCCAUAGAAAUCGGAACGCUAGUUUCGGUGGAGGCGUUGGUGGGAUACUACCCUCGCUGUAUGACCACUCUAACCCGCACCACUAAUCGUGGUGGGAGACAGUGUCAGGUGGGCAGUUUGACUGGGGCGGUCGCCUCCUAAAAAGUAACGGAGGCGCCCAAAGGUUCCCUCAGAAUGGUUGGAAAUCAUUCGCAGAGUGUAAAGGCACAAGGGAGCUUGACUGCGAGACAGACAGGUCGAGCAGGGACGAAAGUCGGGCUUAGUGAUCCGGUGGUACCGUAUGGAAGGGCCAUCGCUCAACGGAUAAAAGCUACCCUGGGGAUAACAGGCUUAUCUCCCCCAAGAGUCCACAUCGACGGGGAGGUUUGGCACCUCGAUGUCGGCUCAUCGCAUCCUGGGGCUGUAGUCGGUCCCAAGGGUUGGGCUGUUCGCCCAUUAAAGCGGUACGCGAGCUGGGUUCAGAACGUCGUGAGACAGUUCGGUCCCUAUCCGUCGCGGGCGUAGGAAAUUUGAGAGGACCUGUCCUUAGUACGAGAGGACCGGGAUGGACAUACCUCUGGUGUACCAGUUGUGCCGCCAGGCGCAUCGCUGGGUAGCUACGUAUGGAUGUGAUAAACGCUGAAAGCAUCUAAGUGUGAAACACACCUCGAGAUGAGAUUUCCCAUUCCUUUAUGGAAGUAAGACCCCUGAAAGAUGAUCAGGUAGAUAGGUUAGAAGUGGCAGUGCGGUGACGCAUGAAGCGGACUAAUACUAAUCGGUCGAGGACUUAACCAAG
rnacentral:rRNA from 2 species